rnacentral:lncRNA from 1 species
UUAUUACUUCCGUUCAACAGAUGAAGAAACAGAGGCAAAGAGAGUAUAGGUUUGCCUAAGACUACCCACCAGGUAAGUGGUGUCGCUGGCUUUAAACUCAGAUGGUGUGGCUCCAGAGGUAAUGCCCUUAAACCCAAGACUUGCCGUAUAAGCUUCAGCCCUGCUAAUAGCUGGAGUAUUCAUUGCAGAUCUUUCAACCAGAGGAAAGGAUGGCCUUCAGAAUCAUCUGGAGCGCUUCAUGCUCUAUCAGGUUCUCCAAGGCCCUACCAGCUUCCUCUGUUAGUUUUCACCUGAGUCAUCGAAGAGCAUUCUUCAAAGUAGAAGGAUUAUCAGUGACAGCAUAAAGUCUAUUCAAGACCAGAGCCCAGAAAGGUGCAAAACUUCAGAGAGGCAUCAGAAUCAAAGCUGAACAGUUGGAUUCAAAUUGCAGAGGAAGAAAAGGAACAUCUCGGAGAAUCGCGAGGGAUCUGACUGUCGAUAUUGCUUUCAAUCAGCUUGAGCCCCUGCUGCAUUUUAAAAGCAGAGAACAGAGGAGGAACAGAGAGGCAUCACGGGGAGAGAGAACUGCUGAGAAUGGCGAAGAAUUUUCCAGGCUGGAGAGUGAAGAAAGACAUGAAUCCUCAGAGUAAAUGUUUACAUCAAUUGCCGAGACAGA